AUGAGCGGGCCCAUCAAUCAUCAUCUCUACCGCUCCCCCUAUGAGAGCCUUUUUUCUUCAUUCUGCGCCCCUCCUCCCCUCUUUUCCUCUUUCUGCUAGCGCUGAUCACGACAACGAGCGUGUGUGUGUGUGUGUGUGGCGCUUCAUCUAGAGAAGCCGCGCGGAUUCCGUCACUGUUUCUUACUUUGUGGUUGUUUCGAUUGCACACGCCCACCCACCUGCAGCACACUUUGCCAGGCGUCUGUCUUCUGCGUGCCCGUUUCGAUUUCGCUCUUGCUCUCUCCCCGUGAGCGUCGAAUGUACAUUUACGUAUGCAUUGUGUGAACGCACGCCGCCACGUCGCCCCCGUAUUCGCUUCUCGUCCCCACCCCUUUCUCCGUAGAAGACAACCCUUACCGGAGAAAAGGGCGAGCGGCUUCCUUUGUUUGCUGUUGACCAGUGCUUUCUUGCGUGUAUGCGUGUGCUUGUAUGCUCCGUCUCUCUCUCCUCUCUUUGUGACCAUCAGAGUAACGGAAAGGCUGUCACCCCCCUCAUCUUACCCGUCUCUCAGCUAACGCGUCUGUCCGGUAUCCUCUAGUCGAUUGAUUGCAGUGGCCCCCCAUCCCCCUCUCUCCCUCUCUCAUUGUUAAAGACACAUAGAUACGACCCCCUUUUUGUGUGUGUGUGUGCUCUUUCUCAUCAUACAUAUUUAGCCUGCCUUCUUGUUUUUUCUACGCCUCCUUUCUUCUAUGUUGUGUGCUGAAGGAGUUAGGAGGCACUGAAAUCUGCAUCUCUCAUUGGUUUAUGGCAGGCGAUCGAGAAAGACACGUCGCGGUAUUCGUUGUUGUUUUCCCUUUUUGAACUUGUUUUUUCUCUCUCCACCACCGCCACAAACAUCACCUCUCUUUUCCCUUUAGCCUUCGUCAGCAGCAACUGCAGACGUAUUUUUGUGUCACACCACAUCUAAACCGCACAGUCACGCUCUCGGCCACCGUGUUCGUGGCUCCUGUCGCUCUUUUCGUCUUAUCUUUGUUUUGUGUGCGUCUGUGUCUGCGACUGUGUGUGUGUGUGUGUGUUUGCGCGCUCCCUGCUGCCUCACCUCUUCUUUUUCUUUUGUGUUGUUUCGUGCUUGUUGGGCCCACUCCCCAUGUCCCCCCCCCACCCUUCCCUUCCCUCCCCCGGUGCAUAUUUCACUCCAUUGAUCUAUCGUUGUCGUCAAAGCAACGUCAUCGCGCACUCCGCAUUUGCUCUCGCCUCCAUACACAACUCCCCGCCCAUCACGUAGCGCUGCGCGUCUGACUGUCUGUCCGUCUAGGGUGGGCUGCUUUUUCACCCAUCACUCUUCUGCUUCUCGACGAUCGACGUGACUCUUCUUCCUUGUCGCUCUUUUCUUUUUCCGCCUUUUCUUUUUUCCCUCUUUUUGUUGUGUCGUGGGGCGUGGUGGCCGUCGCUUGUUUUUUUUUUUAGAGGUGGCUUGUCGGCCUCCGUUUUGUGUCUCGUUUCUUUCUGUUGUGGCGUUCUGUCUGUGUAUGGUUUUCCCUCUGCUCGCUGUCCCUUGCGUGCACCCGGCUUCCUCCCCUUCUCUCCGUCCCUUCGCCUGUCUCUUUGGGGAGGCUUUCUAUAGACUGUUUGAUUACUUGUAUAUCUCUAUCUGUCUGCACCGCUGCUCUGCUUCUGUACGGUGGCCUUUCUGUCUGUCUGUUCGUUUUGUUUGCUCACCGCGUCGUCUGCGCUGUCUCACUGCUCCAUCUUCCCCUAAAAGCCCCUCCCCCUCCCCCUCCCCUUCCCCCAAAGACAAACCAACAACGAUCAUCAGCACUCUCGCCUCCCCCUUCCCCUACCCCCCACCCACCCCCAACACACAGACUCCCAUACACAAGCCCAACAAAGGCGCCCCUGCAAGGCAAUCAUGUUCAAGAGCUCGCUAGCCACACACAGCAGCAUCGACCAUGAUUUGUUUCCACUGCUGACGGUACGCAGCUGCGUGAGCGAAGCCGACGAGAGCAAGAAUGGGCCGCGCUUCUGCGCUGAGGACAAGAUGACCGGCGGCGCGUACGAGAUUCGUAGCCGCAAGCUUGAUUUGGAGGCGGAACAGCUCGUAGACGGCGUCGGUUGCCGAGGCACCCACCGAAACCUAUCACCGAAUGAUCUUCGCGCCAUUAGGCGGCAGCAGGAGCGGAUCGACGCCCUUCUUACUGCCACCGCCCACUGCACGGUGCCGCCGUGCGUGGCGCUGCCGAUCGACGUGUACAUUCAGGAGCAGCCGUCCACCGGUCACACCUACGUGGCAAGCGUGGACGCGUUCUCCGGGCUCUCACUGGGUGACAUCAUUCGCUCCGGCUGGGGCAUGAUGGAGGAGAGCGUGUUUCUAGAGAUUCUCAACGCCGUGGAGGCAUUCGGCUACGCGAGUGCCAGCCUGCCACCGCAUGGAAAUAUUAGCUCCGACGCUAUCAAGCAGCUGCUCAUCGUGCGCGACGGUGCCUCCGAGGCGCGGCAGCCGUCGCGGUGGGUGGUGAGCGAUUGGCUGCUGCUCAGCGACGACAGCGUUACCUCAUUUGAUCCACAGGCGUUUGUGGCUGACCUGGAGUGGGUGCUGCAUUCCUCUUUUGCGCAGCUGCACAUCUCGACGACCACCACGCAGGGGAGCACCUUCAUGCCGGCGGCUCGAGUAGAGGAGCUCGUGACUGAGACCGUUGACCGCAUUCGCGCUCAUCUGCUCCACCAAGGCGCAGAGGCACACCACACUUCCUCUGCUGACGCCUUGGCCCAGCCGUCUGACGGGGGACCACAAACGGACAUGAAGGCCUUUCAUGCGCACCUCGAUGCUUCUUCCUCCGGGGUAACUGAUGUCGACGGCGCCAGUGCGAGGCAAACCUCGGCCAGCAACGAGGAUGGCGUGCCAACCUCCUUCGAUACCACUUACGAAAACACUGCCAACUGGGCUUCCGGUGCCACAGGAAGUGCGCUUGAGUCUCAGGCUACUGCGCCGCCAUCGUCGCCUCCGCGAUCGGUCCCUGACCCUAGCACGACGACCGCGAGCACUGCUGCUGCUUCCUCGCUCAACACACUGCCAGCUGCCUCGCUGGUGAGCAACAAGAGCCAAGACUCGCGCGGCGCGGCGGAUAAGCGCGACAGCGCAAAAGAGGCCUUCCGCGUCGCUCGACAUAUGUCUCUCAAAGACAAGGUGGCCUACCAUCAAGCCGCGCUUCGCAGAGAGCAGCUUCUGGUGAACAGGCACCGUCGUAAGAACGCCCCGCUGCCGCCACGGCCCCAGCCGGUGUCGGCACAUAUACAAAACGCGCGCCCUUUCCUCUCUCCGAGCGCCUCUGAGGAGGACGAGGAGUUCUACUACGAUCCACCCGCGCUGACGUCUCCAAUCGACGUAAAGCCGAGCGCUUACUUGAUGCAGGGCCGCCGGUCCUCACCGAACAGGCGAGGCGCCGGCAGCGCUCGCAAGCUUCAGUCCCCACGCAGCGCUCGGACACUGAACGGCGAAGCGCGAACUCCGUGCGAACGCUCGCGAUCGUCGACGACACCGCCGCCGUCGCAACGGUCGCAAGCAACCUCUCACGCCUCCGCGUCUUGUGACCAGCUGCGCGAGCGUCUCUUAGAUGACGUGGUGAGCAUAGCGGUGCUGAAUCAACGCCGGAGGGCGGAGGACCAUCUUCUGCAGCAGGAAGCGGAGCGCCGCCGACGAGAACAGCGGCAGCAAGUGCUUUCUCUGUCCACACCGCCUCGCGGCGUUGCAGGCCAACGCCUUUCCACGCCAAACCUUUUGGACAAUCCCGGAGCGUCCAUCUCCUACCCUGCUGCUCCGAGCUCCCCUUCGGUAGAAGCAAAGGCUGCCGAGACCGGCGACAAUCACCGGCGGGCCUCUCGACGACGGGGCACAGCGCCAUGCGGCUCCGCCGCAAACGUGAGCCACGGCGGCAGUGCAUCACCUUCAGGUUGUUGUCUGGUUCUGACGGCGGCACCCCAUGACGCAGCUAUGAACCGCUUUGGCGAUGCAAGCAAGAGCCCUGAGCCAACGCCGCCGUCGCCACAUUGGUGCCGUAUUGUCCGCCCCACUUUCUGUGAAAACAAACCCGUUGUGAAGGCUGCGGCUGGCACACGGGUGGCACUGCCACGGGCAUCUGCGCGUGGUGCAGCUAGCACCGCCGUCGCGAGCCGAUUGCCACAGACGGCAGGCAAAACCACGGCGCCGUCACAGACAGUCUUGUACGGCCUCCGCACCGGCACGGCAUCCACCAUAGUGCGAUCGGACGCGGCCAAAAUGCCCGUUACCGCACGUGCCGCUGCGACGAUGGGAGGGGUAGCGACCGCAGCCAUGGCCAGAAAUGGUAGCAAUCUGAGCCGACAACUUGCUGCGGGCACCGUGCCUCGUUCUAGCCGUAGCACGACGACUGCUGGAAAUCGAGCGGCUUGGGCUGUCGGACAGCAACAACGCUCUGCAAGGGCGAGGGCUGCCGCGCCGCUAGUGCAGAGAAACACUCGCGCCUCAACCUCAUCGCCUCUGAGUUCCCCACGACAGAAGACGGCGCAGCAGUCGGCGGCGGCGCCCUGUGUGAAACCGCUGCCUUUUGCUUCCUUUCUUGGAUGCCUGGCGUCUCCGCGGGAGGCACCAACGUUGAUUGGUGCGAGCAGUCCGCCUGUUGCCAGCCGUGCUGCUGUAGGGCAGCUGGUACCCACACGGAGAGCCGCCGCAACGACUUCCGGCUCGCUUUCGUACUCCAACGGCUCUACUCGAAAAUACGUCAUGGAUGCAAAGUUUCAGGCGCUGCGGUGUCCCAACACUGCUCGCCCGCCCCCGACACAGCUGCGGCUUGCCGCGUCCCCGCGGGUUUACCAACGCGUGUCGUCGACCGGAGUUCUCCGCUCGCCUCGCAAUGGUGUUGGCGUCACGCCUCUUAGACAACCAUCAGCAGCUACGCCAGCCACCGCACCUCAGUCCUCGUCGUCGAUUCGCGAAGUGUCGCGUAGCGUGCUGCAAAAGCCAGCGAAGCUGGAAGCUGCCACACCUAUAGCGCUGCGCACAACGCAGCCUCGGCUACCCGUUGCCGCCGACUCCGCGUCGGCGAAGGGCCGUGCAUCCGUCAGUCGUAAACCAUUACAGCGUCUCGUGCUGCAGAAAGGCUCUCCAGGUCUCUCGGCUAGACAUGCCGACACCCUUGACACUCAGGCCACCGAUCUGCCGCCGACUUCCGCGAACGAGGAUAGCCUAACCUCACCGCACACCCCACCACCACCAUCACCACCACCCCUGGCUUCUACUAAUGCUGCUGCUGCUGCUGCUGCAGGGGCUGUACGCCGGUUUACUUGCACGGAUCCUCUGGCUCAAAGCAGUGUGGCCGAGGUUGAGAAUCACGCGCCGCGAGGCAGGAAUGCCGGAGGGUCGAGCCUGUCUCCUGGCAGCCGCUCAAUGGAAGCGUCGGCUUUUGCGACUCAGAGGGAGAAUAAAGGUAAGGCGCAUGUGGCAGGGCCGUGCGCUGAGCCGCUGACGCUGGGUAGCGUGCGCCCGGUGAAGAAAGCGUCUCCAGGUAUUCUGCUGCUGCGGCAUCGAAGCUCCACCAUGUAAUACGAGCAGCAUCUGGCAGAGGCAGAAAGCGUCCGUGCUGUGGCCACGUCUGCCCACCAUAAACGGUGUAUCUUUUUUUCUUCCUCACGGAGCGCAGGCGCACAUCUCUCUGUUCCCUUCUCCACCCCUAUUUGUGUCUGUGCGGUGCGUGUGUGUCUCUGUGACCCGGCAAGUGGUUGUGUCCGUUGCAUAGAAGAGAAAAUGUCUGGCCGGCGCAGUUUGCUCCACUUCAUGUCCGCCGCCAUUCCAGUGCUUCCUUGUCCGCCACGGAGUGGUGUCCAAAGGCGAGCACAGGGUGCAUCUGUACCUUUGCAAAGCCACGCGCACCAUAAAGCGGAGCGAGCGAGGGCGGUAUCGCCGCCGCUCUGAACCUGGUUCGAGCCGUGGCGGUUGAGUGGGAGAGUUGGGAAGGGCAGCGUGUGUGUGUGAGGGUGGGGGGCAUGAAAGCGAAUGAAGUGACGCAGGCGAUCUUUUCAGGUCGUCCCGCCGCUUGUUUUUUUCUCCUUCCUUUCGGAGGCCGCUGCAUGCGCUGAUUCACCACCUCCUCAGUUUGAACGGCGCAGGCGAAAGGCAUCUCGCAGUUUGGAACAUUACGAGGAGCGCAGCUCGAGGGGGGGGAGGCUAACUGCCAUUGGCGUGCCGCUUCGCUUUCUUCUCAUUUGAAGGACCGCGGGCCAGAGGACGCAAGGCACCCUCUGCUGCUCCUCAUAUUGCCCUGCCCUCUCUCUCUUCUCGUUGGAAGACACUUUUCCUUUCCAUCUUGCGUGCUUCUCUCUCACCGCGCAACAG
rnacentral:misc_RNA from 1 species